CCUACGGGUGGCAGCAGUAGGGAAUAUUGCUCAAUGGGGGAAACCCUGAAGCAGCAACGCCGCGUGGAGGAUGAAGGUUUUCGGAUUGUAAACUCCUUUUGUUAGAGAAGAUAAUGACGGUAUCUAACGAAUAAGCACCGGCUAACUCCGUCCCAGCAGCCGCGGUAAUACGGAGGGUGCAAGCGUUACUCGGAAUCACUGGGCGUAAAGAGCGCGUAGGUGGGAUAGCAAGUCAGAUGUGAAAUCCUAUGGCUUAACCAUAGAACUGCAUUUGAAACUGUUAGUCUAGAGUAUGGGAGAGGUAGGUGGAAUUCUUGGUCUAGGGGUAAAAUGCGUAGAGAUCAAGAGGAAUACUCAUUGCGAAGGCGACCUGCUAGAACAUAACUGACGCUGAUGCGCGAAAGCGUGGGGAGCAAACAGGAUUAGAUACCCCAGUAGUC
rnacentral:rRNA from 1 species